rnacentral:rRNA from 1 species
UGAGGAAUAUUGGACAAUGGGCGCAAGCCUGAUCCAGCCAUGCCGCGUGCAGGAAGAAGCAUCUAUGGUGUGUAAACUGCUUUUGUACGGGACGAAACACUCCUUCGUGAAGGAGCUUGACGGUACCGUAAGAAUAAGGAUCGGCUAACUCCGUGCCAGCAGCCGCGGUAAUACGGAGGAUCCAAGCGUUAUCCGGAACCAUUGGGUUUAAAGGGUCCGUAGGCGGUAUAGUAAGUCAGUGGUGAAAGCCCAUCGCUCAACGAUGGAACGGCCAUUGAUACUGCUAGACUUGAAUUAUUAGGAAGUAACUAGAAUAUGUAGUGUAGCGGUGAAGUGCUUAGAUAUUGCAUGGAAUACCAAUAGCGAAGGCAGGUUACUACUAAUGGAUUGACGCUGAUGGACGAAAGCGUGGGAAGCGGA